rnacentral:tRNA from 1 species
GCCGCAUUGGAUCAGUCGGCACAGCGUCUCACUCGUCAUGAGAGGGACCAGGGUUCGAUUCCCUGAGGCGGCUCC